rnacentral:snRNA from 1 species
GAAUGUGAGGGGGGUGGUUAGGGUCGGGUGCCCUUGUCCUCCCUCACUGCUCCAUGUGUGUCUCUCCAGAAUAAAUGCUUCGUCUGAGAGGAUGGUCUUCUCUGGUAACUAGAGGAGGACCAGUCUGGGUCAAGGGUACAGUAC